UACGGAGGGGGCUAGCGUUGUUCGGAAUUACUGGGCGUAAAGCGCACGUAGGCGGCUUUGUAAGUUAGAGGUGAAAGCCCAGGGCUUAACCCUGGAAUUGCCUUUAAGACUGCAUCGCUAGAAUCGUGGAGAGGUGAGUGGAAUUCCGAGUGUAGAGGUGAAAUUCGUAGAUAUUCGGAAGAACACCAGUGGCGAAGGCGACUCACUGGACACGUAUUGACGCUGAGGUGCGAAAGCGUGGGGAGCAA
rnacentral:rRNA from 1 species